GGGUUGUGAGGUUAAGCGACUAAGCGUACACGGUGGAUGCCCUGGCAGUCAGAGGCGAUGAAGGACGUGCUAAUCUGCGAAAAGCGUCGGUAAGGUGAUAUGAACCGUUACAGCCGGCGAUGUCCGAAUGGGGAAACCCAGUGCAAUUCGUUGCACUAUCGUUAACUGAAUACAUAGGUUAACGAGGCGAACCGGGGGAACUGAAACAUCUAAGUACCCCGAGGAAAAGAAAUCAACCGAGAUUCCCCCAGUAGCGGCGAGCGAACGGGGAGCAGCCCAGAGUCUGAAUCAGCUUGUGUGUUAGUGGAACGGUCUGGAAAGUCCGACGGUACAGGGUGAUAGUCCCGUACACCAAAAUGCACAGGCUGUGAACUCGAAGAGUAGGGCGGGACACGUGGUAUCCUGUCUGAAUAUGGGGGGACCAUCCUCCAAGGCUAAAUACUCCUGACUGACCGAUAGUGAACCAGUACCGUGAGGGAAAGGCGAAAAGAACCCCGGCGAGGGGAGUGAAAAAGAACCUGAAACCGUGUACGUACAAGCAGUGGGAGCACCUUCGGGUGUGACUGCGUACCUUUUGUAUAAUGGGUCAGCGACUUAUAUUCUGUAGCAAGGUUAACCGUAUAGGGGAGCCGCAGGGAAACCGAGUCUUAACUGGGCGUUAAGUUGCAGGGUAUAGACCCGAAACCCGGUGAUCUAGCCAUGGGCAGGUUGAAGGUUGGGUAACACUAACUGGAGGACCGAACCGACUAAUGUUGAAAAAUUAGCGGAUGACUUGUGGCUGGGGGUGAAAGGCCAAUCAAACCGGGAGAUAGCUGGUUCUCCCCGAAAGCUAUUUAGGUAGCGCCUCGUGAACUCAUCUUCGGGGGUAGAGCACUGUUUCGGCUAGGGGGUCAUCCCGACUUACCAACCCGAUGCAAACUACGAAUACCGAAGAAUGUUAUCACGGGAGACACACGGCGGGUGCUAACGUCCGUCGUGAAGAGGGAAACAACCCAGACCGCCAGCUAAGGUCCCAAAGUCACAGUUAAGUGGGAAACGAUGUGGGAAGGCACAGACAGCCAGGAUGUUGGCUUAGAAGCAGCCAUCAUUUAAAGAAAGCGUAAUAGCUCACUGGUCGAGUCGGCCUGCGCGGAAGAUGUAACGGGGCUAAACUGUGCACCGAAGCUGCGGCAGCGACACUUAGGUGUUGUUGGGUAGGGGAGCGUUCUGUAAGCCUGCGAAGGUGGCCUGUGAGGGUUGCUGGAGGUAUCAGAAGUGCGAAUGCUGACAUAAGUAACGAUAAUGCGGGUGAAAAGCCCGCACGCCGGAAGACCAAGGGUUCCUGUCCAACGUUAAUCGGGGCAGGGUGAGUCGACCCCUAAGGCGAGGCCGAAAGGCGUAGUCGAUGGGAAACAGGUUAAUAUUCCUGUACUUGGUGUUACUGCGAAGGGGGGACGGAGAAGGCUAUGUUAGCCGGGCGACGGUUGUCCCGGUUUAAGCAUGUAGGCGGAGGUUCCAGGUAAAUCCGGUACCUUAUUAACGCUGAGGUGUGAUGACGAGGCACUACGGUGCUGAAGUAACAAAUGCCCUGCUUCCAGGAAAAGCCUCUAAGCAUCAGGUAACAUUGAAUCGUACCCCAAACCGACACAGGUGGUCAGGUAGAGAAUACCAAGGCGCUUGAGAGAACUCGGGUGAAGGAACUAGGCAAAAUGGUGCCGUAACUUCGGGAGAAGGCACGCUGAUAUGUAGGUGAAGCCCCUGCGGGUGGAGCUGAAAUCAGUCGAAGAUACCAGCUGGCUGCAACUGUUUAUUAAAAACACAGCACUGUGCAAACACGAAAGUGGACGUAUACGGUGUGACGCCUGCCCGGUGCCGGAAGGUUAAUUGAUGGGGUUAUCCGUAAGGAGAAGCUCUUGAUCGAAGCCCCGGUAAACGGCGGCCGUAACUAUAACGGUCCUAAGGUAGCGAAAUUCCUUGUCGGGUAAGUUCCGACCUGCACGAAUGGCGUAAUGAUGGCCAGGCUGUCUCCACCCGAGACUCAGUGAAAUUGAACUCGCUGUGAAGAUGCAGUGUACCCGCGGCAAGACGGAAAGACCCCGUGAACCUUUACUAUAGCUUGACACUGAACAUUGAGCCUUGAUGUGUAGGAUAGGUGGGAGGCUUUGAAGCGUGGACGCCAGUCUGCGUGGAGCCAACCUUGAAAUACCACCCUUUAAUGUUUGAUGUUCUAACGUUGGCCCCUUAUCGGGGUUGCGGACAGUGUCUGGUGGGUAGUUUGACUGGGGCGGUCUCCUCCCAAAGAGUAACGGAGGAGCACGAAGGUUAGCUAAUCCUGGUCGGACAUCAGGAGGUUAGUGCAAUGGCAUAAGCUAGCUUGACUGCGAGCGUGACGGCGCGAGCAGGUGCGAAAGCAGGUCAUAGUGAUCCGGUGGUUCUGAAUGGAAGGGCCAUCGCUCAACGGAUAAAAGGUACUCCGGGGAUAACAGGCUGAUACCGCCCAAGAGUUCAUAUCGACGGCGGUGUUUGGCACCUCGAUGUCGGCUCAUCACAUCCUGGGGCUGAAGUAGGUCCCAAGGGUAUGGCUGUUCGCCAUUUAAAGUGGUACGCGAGCUGGGUUUAGAACGUCGUGAGACAGUUCGGUCCCUAUCUGCCGUGGGCGCUGGAGAAUUGAGGGGGGCUGCUCCUAGUACGAGAGGACCGGAGUGGACGCAUCACUGGUGUUCGGGUUGUCAUGCCAAUGGCAUUGCCCGGUAGCUAAAUGCGGAAGAGAUAAGUGCUGAAAGCAUCUAAGCACGAAACUUGCCCCGAGAUGAGUUCUCCCUGAGACUUUAAGUCUCCUGAAGGAACGUUAAAGACGAUGACGUUGAUAGGUCGGGUGUGUAAGCGUAGCGAUACGUUGAGCUAACCGAUACUAAUGAACCGUGAGGCUUAACCUUACAACGCCGAAGGUGUUU
rnacentral:rRNA from 1 species